GGGUGAGAGCCCCGUCUGGUCGGACACCAAGCCUCUGUAAAGCUCCUUCGACGAGUCGAGUAGUUUGGGAAUGCUGCUCUAAAUGGGAGGUAUAUGUCUUCUAAAGCUAAAUACCGGCCAGAGACCGAUAGCGCACAAGUAGAGUGAUCGAAAGAUGAAAAGCACUUUGAAAAGAGAGUUAAAAAGUACGUGAAAUUGUUGAAAGGGAAGCGCUUAUGACCAGACUUGGGCCUGUUUGAUCAACUUGGGUUCUCCCGGGUGCACUCUUUCAGGUUCAGGCCAGCAUCAGUUUGCCGCGGGGGAUAAAGGCUUCGGGAAUGUGGCUCCCCCCGGGGAGUGUUAUAGCCCGUUGCGUAAUACCCUGCGGCGGACUGAGGUUCGCGCAUCUGCAUGGAUGCUGGCGUAAUGGUCAUCAGCGACCCGUCUUGAAACACGGACCAAGGAGUCGUCUUCGUAUGCGAGUGUUCGGGUGUUAAACCCCUACGCGUAAUGAAAGUGAACGCAGGUGAGAGCUUCGGCGCAUCAUCGACCGAUCCUGAUGUUCUCGGAUGGAUUUGAGUAAGAGCAUACGGGGCCGGACCCGAAAGAAGGUGAACUAUGCCUGUAUAGGGUGAAGCCAGAGGAAACUCUGGUGGAGGCUCGCAGCGGUUCUGACGUGCAAAUCGAUCGUCAAAUAUGGGCAUGGGGGCGAAAGACUAAUCGAACCUUCUAGUAGCUGGUUUCCGCCGAAGUUUCCCUCAGGAUAGCAGUGUUGAGCUCAGUUUUAUGAGGUAAAGCGAAUGAUUAGGGACUUGGGGGCGCUAUUUAGCCUUCAUCCAUUCUCAAACUUUAAAUAUGUAAGAAGCCCUUGUUGCUUAAUUGAACGUGGGCAUUCGAAUGUAUCAACACUAGUGGGCCAUUUUUGGUAAGCAGAACUGGCGAUGCGGGAUGAACCGAACGCGAGGUUAAGGUGCCAGAGUAGACGCUCAUCAGACACCACAAAAGGUGUUAGUACAUCUUGACAGCAGGACGGUGGCCAUGGAAGUCGGAAUCCGCUAAGGACUGUGUAACAACUCACCUGCCGAAUGUACUAGCCCUGAAAAUGGAUGGCGCUCAAGCGUCUCACCCAUACCUCGCCCUCGGGGUAGAACGAUGCCCCGAGGAGUAGGCGGACGUAGAGGUCAG
rnacentral:rRNA from 1 species